rnacentral:rRNA from 1 species
GGCCCACCAAGGCGACGAUCGGUAGCCGGACUGAGAGGUUGAACGGCCACAUUGGGACUGAGACACGGCCCAGACUCCUACGGGAGGCAGCAGUGGGGAAUAUUGCACAAUGGGGGAAACCCUGAUGCAGCGACGCCGCGUGGAGGAAGAAGGUCUUCGGAUUGUAAACUCCUGUUGUUGAGGAAGAUAAUGACGGUACUCGACAAGGAAGUGACGGCUAACUACGUGCCAGCAGCCGCGGUAAAACGUAGGUCACAAGCGUUGUCCGGAAUUACUGGGUGUAAAGGGAGCGCAGGCGGGAGAACAAGUUGGAAGUGAAAUCCAUGGGCUCAACCCAUGAACUGCUUUCAAAACUGUUUUUCUUGAGUAGUGCAGAGGUAGGCGGAAUUCCCGGUGUAGCGGUGGAAUGCGUAGAUAUCGGGAGGAACACCAGUGGCGAAGGCGGCCUACUGGGCACCAACUGACGCUGAGGCUCGAAAGUGUGGGUAGCAAACAGGAUUAGAUACCCUGGUAGUCCACACCGUAAACGAUGAUUACUAGGUGUUGGAGGAUUGACCCCUUCAGUGCCGCAGUUAACACAAUAAGUAAUCCACCUGGGGAGUA